GCCUACGGCCAUACCACCCUGAAAGCGCCCGAUCUCGUCUGAUCUCGGAAGCUAAGUAGGGACGGGCCUGGUUAGUACCUGGAUGGGAGACCGCCUGGAAAUACCAGGUGUUGUAGGCU
rnacentral:rRNA from 1 species